ACUUGGCAGCUUCUCCGCGCUGGAAAAGUCGUUGCUGGGCGACGCUCGCAGCAACGCGUUCCUAGGAUGUCCGUGCGCGUCCGCAGCUUGCAGUCUGGGCGCUGCUUGUGAACAGCACUGGAUGCGGAGUCCGAGUGCGCUUGAGCCCUAGGACAGGGACAGGGGCGCCGGACUACUACGCAGGGCUCUCGGAAGUGAGUUCUCAGGGGUCUGGAACCUCUGCCCCUUGACGUCACCAGGAGGUAGUCCUGGAAACGGGGAUACUGAGAUGGAGAGGCUUGAGCGCUGCCGCAAAGGAAAAAUCAAACGCAGACACGAGAAAUUCUGUGCUGUCUGGGACGCAGGAGGAGGAGAGUCCUCGUCACUGGGAGCCCAGCUCCGCCGCUCCUGCCCGGAUGCUCGGUGGUCUGCAGAAAGCUCCCUUCUUAGUCGCUGACUCAGGACUAUGAUGGCAGUGGCACUCAGAGGUGGCUUAAUGGAGAGCAUACCUUUAUUCGUCUUUUGCUCGCAGAUCUCUUAGCCACCCUUCCCUGCCCGCUCUGUGAUAUACAGAAUGCGGACACACUCACUCCCUGUACAAAUGGUACCUGCUGGAGCUCAGCCAGUUGAAGCUAACGAUGGAAACUGCAAGAGGAGACUCUCGGCUUCAGCCUGGAAUUUGACUACGACUCUUAACAAGCCGAGACUCUCAACACCUCAGCUCUCAGCCCAUUCUUAGCUCCAGCCUAUUUUGUACCACCCACACAGAUGAUGCUCCAUCAGAAGGUCUAGAAUAAGUCCAUAGUGACCAACGUCAGUCAUUCCUGGUGUUUCUUCCACCCCGGGGCCAGUAGCUAACCUUCAGGUGAUCCACUUUUCUGUCUCCAUCAUCCAUGUAGCCAGAGCUCAGUCCUCAGUCCCUGUAGUCUGUUUUGUUGAGUGGUCCUAGCACUGCCCUUGGUAAUAGGAGUGAUCCCAGCAAGAAGUCUUAAGGUGGCUUUCUGGACUGAGCACUCACACAUUUAAUUGCAAAUGUAUUGACAGUUAUUUGAGGGUGGCCAAUGAGCCAGGAAAAGCCAGAGCGGUUUGCUUUUCUGUGUGGCUAUUUGAAGUGAAAUGUCAGCAGAUAGAUGAAAACACUUAGAAAGUAGCUGCUCCAGCACAAUCUUGACAACAGAAGCUGAUGUCACCAAGUCAGGUGACUUGAGUUCCCCAGAACCCACAUAGUAGGAGAAAAGCAACUACCUCAGUUGGUCCACUGACCUCCACAUGUUUGGUCACACCAUACAAAAUGAAGUCAAUCAAGUUUGGACAUUGUAAAUCAACUAAGCCAGUGAC
ensembl:processed_transcript 4931415C17Rik RIKEN cDNA 4931415C17 gene